UCUUGUGGUGAUGAAGUGAAUUGUCUCGGGCCUCCAUAUGCGCACCUUACUAAGCUAGUUUGCACUUGAAACCAGGAAGCUUGGAGUUGUAAAGAAGCCAGACACAAAGUGCAUCAUAAAGAUGGAAUUUAUAGCGAGGCUGCCAUGGAAGAACUGAUUGUAUUACUGUACAAAAAAUCUAACCAGAUGCAAAGCACAUCAAAACCAGAUCCCUGGGGAAUGGAAAACGUUUGCGGCUGAAGCAUAAAACUACAAGUUACUCGCGGAGGAACAUUGUUUUGGUAGUUUCGAGAGUUGUGCUUCGGCUCCACUAUUCUGCGCGGAUGAAUCUGAUGGCUUGAGUCACCACUGCUAAUGUUUCCAGAUAACUAUUCCAAAACUCUGCCAAUAAUCAAAGAAGGAAGAAAAUGAAAGAAUCUGAAAAUUGGCAAAUGAGCAGAAAUUGACAUCUGUGACAUCUAGAAGAAACAUUUAAGACAUUGUUGACAUUUAAAUGGGCUCUCCAUUAUGUCACCUGAGCUACAAAACAGAGAGCUCUUGUCAUGAUUACAUGGGAAUGCUGACAUUUACAGCAGGUACGCACUAACAAACCCUGAUGCUGAGGAUGCUGGAAAAUGUGCUCAUUCUGCAUGAACAAAGCGGUGUUCUCUACAAUGUUCUGGGCUUUCCGCCCAUGUUUUUGAUCCACUUGGAUUUAAGGCAUUCUGACAACAUGGAACAUUUGUGGGAUUGCUGUAGGGAGCGAUUCUGUUCCGGCUGGCGGAAGGAUGCAAGGUCAGCUGGUUCCCCUUCAAGUCAGGCAUCAUUACAGACAUCCUGUGGAGGCAGAAGGGCUUUCUAGAACGGACCGUUUCCAGGUUCUCAUGCAGUCACAACAGAGAGCUCACAAACUCCAUCUCACUUAGAGAGCCAUGUGAUGUCAAAUAAAUGUACUGGAUUUAAUAAAUGUUCACCUUUAAUCGCAUCUUUACCAAAGGCCAAGCCUUACUUCAUUCAAGUGUCCUCUAAAAGACUUUAAAGUGUACACUGAAAUGCCGUCAGAGCAGAAAUUACCUUUUAAGGCUUUCUAGGUCUUGGUUAAUGCCUCUUUCUUGUUGGUCUGGCAAAUUAGCCUCAUUCUUCGCUGUCUAGUCACCUAGUCUGUUUGAAAAAUCUGCCAGACAUCUGGAAUCGGUCACUAUACAUGUCAGCUUGGCUAAGUCACAUCUUGAUGGUGGUUAUCUAAGUGAAUUUGGGUCAUGCAUACCUGUCAUAGCUGAUAAAUGAAGAUUAUAAGACCUAACUGUAUCAUAUCAGGCCAGUUGGUGCACAAGAAUGAGUUAGGAUGUCCUUUCCACACAAGUUACCUGCUGGGGAAAGUUGCUGGUACUGAGCAUGAAGCCUCAUGAGGCUGUAUAUUAAAGUGAUUUUACAGUGGUACAGUCAUAAAAUCACUGUAAUCCACAGAUUUGUUUUUUUUAUGCACUUCCGUUAAAAAAUGUUUGCG